GGCAAACGGGUUCAGAUAACAUAGGAAUCUACCUUGAAGUCGUGGAUAAUCUGGAGAAAUCCAGGCUAAUACACGAUAUGUUCUACGGAAUAAAGAUUUAUCGCUUCAAGAGGAGCCUGUGUCCUAUCAGCUUGUUGGUGAGGUAACGGCUCACCAAGGCUAUGACGGGUAGGGGGUAUGAGAGUAUGGCCCCCAACAUUGGAACUGAGACACUGUCCAAACACCUACGGGUGGCUGCAGUCGAGAAUAUUCCACAAUGGGCGCAAGCCUGAUCCAGCCAUGCCGCGUGCAGGAUGACGGUCCUUGGAUUGUAAACUGCUUUUGUACAGGAAGAAAUACUCCCUCGUGAGGGAGCUUGACGGUACUGUAAGAAUAAGGAUCGGCUAACUCCGUGCCAGCAGCCGCGGUAAUACGGAGGAUCCAAGCGUUAUCCGGAAUCAUUGGGUUUAAAGGGUCCGUAGGCGGUUUAAUAAGUCAGUGGUGAAAGCCCAUCGCUCAACGGUGGGACGGCCAUUGAUACUGUUAAACUUGAAUUAUUAGGAAGUAACUAGAAUAUGUAGUGUAGCGGUGAAAUGCUUAGAGAUUACAUGGAAUACCAAUUGCGAAGGCAGGUUACUACUAAUGGAUUGACGCUGAUGGACGAAAGCGUGGGUAGCGAACAGGAUUAGAUACCCUGGUAGUCCACGCCGUAAACGAUGGAUACUAGCUGUUGGGCGCAAGUUCAGUGGCUAAGCGAAAGUGAUAAGUAUCCCACCUGGGGAGUACGUUCGCAAGAAUGAAACUCAAAGGAAUUGACGGGGGCCCGCACAAG
rnacentral:rRNA from 1 species